UGUUUCGGCUAGGGGGUCAUCCCGACUUACCAACCCGAUGCAAACUACGAAUACCGAAGAAUGUUAUCACGGGAGACACACGGCGGGUGCUAACGUCCGUCGUGAAGAGGGAAACAACCCAGACCGCCAGCUAAGGUCCCAAAGUCACAGUUAAGUGGGAAACGAUGUGGGAAGGCACAGACAGCCAGGAUGUUGGCUUAGAAGCAGCCAUCAUUUAAAGAAAGCGUAAUAGCUCACUGGUCGAGUCGGCCUGCGCGGAAGAUGUAACGGGGCUAAACUGUGCACCGAAGCUGCGGCAGCGACACUAUGUGUUGUUGGGUAGGGGAGCGUUCUGUAAGCCUGCGAAGGUGGCCUGUGAGGGUUGCUGGAGGUAUCAGAAGUGCGAAUGCUGACAUAAGUAACGAUAAUGCGGGUGAAAAGCCCGCACGCCGGAAGACCAAGGGUUCCUGUCCAACGUUAAUCGGGGCAGGGUGAGUCGACCCCUAAGGCGAGGCCGAAAGGCGUAGUCGAUGGGAAACAGGUUAAUAUUCCUGUACUUGGUGUUACUGCGAAGGGGGGACGGAGAAGGCUAUGUUAGCCGGGCGACGGUUGUCCCGGUUUAAG
rnacentral:rRNA from 1 species